GGUCUCUGUUGGUAUCUGGUGCUGAGAUCUGAAAUCAUUUAAAGUCUUAAUAAUUAGUACAAUGUAUGAAGUUUUGAAUCCUUAGGGUCGAAACGACCUUAACCUAUUCUCAAACUUUAAAUGGGUAAGAACCACUCCUUUCUUGGUAUGAAGGUGUGGUUGUGAUAUAAUGUGCCCAGUGGGCCACUUUUGGUAAGCAGAACUGGCGCUGUGGGAUGAAACA
rnacentral:rRNA from 1 species